ACUUAAAUUGAAGAGUUUGAUCAUGGCUCAGAUUGAACGCUGGCGGCAGGCCUAACACAUGCAAGUCGAACGGUAGCACAGAGAGCUUGCUCUCGGGUGACGAGUGGCGGACGGGUGAGUAAUGUCUGGGAAACUGCCUGAUGGAGGGGGAUAACUACUGGAAACGGUGGCUAAUACCGCAUAACGUCGCAAGACCAAAGAGGGGGACCUUCGGGCCUCUUGCCAUCAGAUGUGCCCAGAUGGGAUUAGCUGGUUGGUGAGGUAACGGCUCACCAAGGCGACGAUCCCUAGCUGGUCUGAGAGGAUGACCAGCCACACUGGAACUGAGACAC
rnacentral:rRNA from 1 species